GGGCUGCGGAUGCGUGUGUGCGUGCGGGCGCUAGGGCAGCUGGCGGGUCGGGGACAGCUGGUGCACUUUCUGGGCGCGCUUCCGGGGCGAUCGGGGCUGAUCCCCCCGGGCAGCGGCCAGGGGCUGAGGCUCGGGCUGCCCUGCCUUCGGCCGUCGCCUCCUACCCUUCCAGCGCCUGGCGAGCCCCACGCGCGCUCUCAGCCUUUCCUUUAGGCGUUUUAUUUAGGGGGAUCCGAAGAGGGAGCGACCCGACGCGGGAACUGUGCGUACCUGUACAGCGAGAGGACCGCGAAGGGAAGCACCCGCACUCCGGUUCUCGUAUUUUAAAAGCUCUGUUCCCACUUUGGGUCGGUCGUGAGGGCCAUCUUCUCCGUGUAUCCCAUGCAGUUUCCGGCGGGGCGGGAGAGGUCCUGGCGGGAGCCCGGGCAGCCGGCGGGAUGGGGAAGGAGAAUCUGAUGAGAGUCUGCCGCGCGGUUCCCAAUCUUGCCCUGCAGGCCAGCGGGGUAGCCGCGGACACCUCGGGCAGUUGGGGUCCUGAGCGCUGGGCUGACUUUGUCCCAGCAGGAGCAGCGUGGGGGCGGGGUAGGCCGUGGCUUUGUGGUGUUUGGUUAACAAAGACUUUUUGCAAUUUGGAGUUUGAGGCUGUGGAAAAGUAGCUGAUGACUUAUUUGGCUGCUUUUCGACUUUUGUCUUCAGUCCUUUCUUCCUCUUUUAGCAGGGCUGUCACUGUUAUUACUUGUUGAUCCCUUUGCAAGGUGAGAAGUGCUCUGAAGUUAAUGCAAAUCUACCGCUUGGGGCAGUAACGGGAGCUGUUUUCCUCUGGAAAGUGCUAACAGGAAGAAAAGUUAACACUUUCCCUUUAUCUGAAACUACCAUCAUCUCAAUGCUCCACCCAUGUUGUUACAAUGUAUAGUGUUUUAAUUAAGAUGUCCAAUUAGUUUUCUUAUUUUGGGUUCUGUGUUUAAGCCUAUAACAUUUUUUUUUACAUUGGGAGCAUAUCAGCUAUACAUUUUUAUAAUGACUGUGCUCUGUGGAAGCCUCCAGACAAGUUGUUAGUGUGAGGAGGAGGUAAGAAAGAAAAGGGAAAAGAAAAAAAGUGCCCACACAGUGGGAGUAAAAGAGAUAAAACACUAUUGCUGCCUAAUGUUCAGCAUAAUAAAUUUUUCAAAUGAUGAACCAGGCUUGAGUGACUCACCUGUUCUGUUAGAGUGUCAGCAGAAAUACCAAUUUUUGAAGCUCGUUAAAUGAGGUCACGUAGGAAGUAUAAAAAGUGAAUCCUGGGUAGGAAGAGUAUUAGGGUAGCAGCGUUGCUCCUCUCAACCCCGGUGUGCUGUUUGUUCUUUUCUUUAGCAUAACUUCCUGCCAUAGUGCUUGUUGAUAGAGAAGCAGCUCCUUCAAGCCCUUCAAGCAGCUGUAAGCUCACUCACAUGUUGCGUAACCAUUAAUUGACUUGGAAAUAUCCAGUAUCAGGAUUCCUAGGCUUGUCAGUCUAACUGGCUGUCCAGGGCAGAUCAUUCCUUGUACUGCUACUAAGUUGGUAAGCAAAUUACUUGCACGUUGUCCUUCCACUCCACAGCAUUUCCUAUCUCAUUUUCAAAGCUGUGACAGGCUCCGGGUAGGCAGGUGGUGGUAUUUACACACUGCACAAAUUGCCACUACCAACCAAGACCCACAGCAGAACUCUCUCUAGGGAAGUUUUCCAGUCAGCUGGCCCCAGGGUGAUUAUUUUGAAACAAGAUUAUUUUGAAACAAAAUAUACAUGCUGUAUCCAAAUAAUGGAAGUUGUUCCACACAACCCUCCCUUUUAUGUUAGUAAGGAAAAGGAGGGAAAAAAGGUUCAAAAUGCCUUUUCUGUCCUGGUCCAGCUGCUUCUUCUCACUUCGUUGUUACCCAUCCACUAGGAUUAGCCCUGGAUUUCCUCUGACUUCUUUGUCCUUUCAUUUUUUUAUAUAUUUAUAUUUUAUUUUAUUUAAUGAACAUAAAUUUCUGUCCUUUCAUUUUAAUUAGAUGCAAGUUCAUAUAAGAAUUAGACAGACUGGGUCUCUGAGUUAGGAACGGACUUCAGAGUUACAUAUCUACCUGAUAGCUUGGGUUAGAGAACCUCCAAUCUCAAGAUACUUUCUUAUUCUGGAAUUUAUAUUAUUAGAUAUUGUUUGAAAGAAAUAAGCUAGUAGAAUUUGCCUGUCAUGGAGAUUGGGGUGAAACAAUUAGAUGUGCUGUAAUAUUUUGAGGAGCAUCCAAAUUCAGGGUCCUAGAGGUUCCAGUGUGUGCUUCAACACUUUGACCCUCUUGCUGAGGGGAGACCCAUCUGUAAGCCUCCCCCAUAUGUGUGCACAACAGAUUGUCUCUGCUCAGGAGAGGCUUCGGGUGGGACUUGAAGGACCUUGCAGGUUAGGGGAAAAAUACAGAGCAAGGCAGAGAUAGGACUUCUGGACUGGGAUGAGAAGGGAAAGGGAGAGGGGAGAUGGGUGGGGAGCCGCAUAGGGACUGUGUAUGUGGGGAUAUGAAUACACACACAAACACAGCAAUGUUUGUCUAAAGAACAAAACAAUAUUCGGGAACUGAAAUAGCUUAUGAAGUACCCGACUGUACUACUUGGAGGGAGCCCUCUUACAUGUAGUUGUUUACUUGAAAUCAGGCUGCAACAGAGAAUCCUUUCCCUGACUCUGAUUACAACAUUCCUUCCUUAGGUGGUUUGGAGCAAAAGUUACCCAACUUUUGUUGACUUUUGUGAGUGUAGGCUGGUAGAGCAUAUUCUGUACAGAUGUGUGACAUCUCAGCUGACAUUUUACUUUGCCAGAUCUCCAUGAAAAUAAUCCACCUUUUGCCUUUCUCAGCAGAAAUCAGAGCAACGUUAUUCUUCUGUGUCUGGGGCCAGUGACUCUUUCCCUAUGCUGUGGAGGGAGAUACUCUGACUCAGAAUUGUAGCACUUCAGCCUGAGGAAUGAUGGGCGGAGUUCAGAUGAAGAGGGCUUCCUGCCCUAGAGGUCUUUCCUUGGCUGCAAGCAUAGCUGUGCUCUGUGCUGGGCCACUAUGAUGGGAUGAAGAGGCGCUGUGAGACUUGGAAGGGCUAAUCCCUUAGUUAAGAGCUUUAGAAGUUAGAACUGGGCCAGAAGAAUUGGAAAGAGCAAGCAUUUGAAAAGACUUUACUUGUGUGGCAGACUUCAUUAUGAGGUUAUUUAAUAGGCCAUUAACAAACAGAUUAGUUGACAAAAUCUUAAUUAAUAAGUUACAGGAUUAUUCUUCUAACCUCCAUCUGUCCAUCUCCUAUUUCAUCCCAGGGACUCCAUAUGCUCCUUAAGCUAAAUAUAUCCGAUGCAAUGAAAUUCAAUCUUUUUAUUAAAAUGAAAGCAGGCAGAUGCAGAACUUAGUGCUAUGCCUAAUAAUAAUAGCAGACAUUAUUUGAAUGUUUCUUGAUGUCAUACAAUAUUCUGGAUGCAUUGAAGGUAGUCAGUUGUUUACAACAUCUUUAUGAGAUAAGUGUUAUGUAUCUCCAUUUGCAGUUGAGGAAACUGAGUCCCAGGAUUUUUAAGCAAAGCUCCCUUUGUCACAUAAGCGAGAAGGAACAUUGAUGAGAGUCAACCCCAGGCAAUGUGGCCUCAGAAUCAAUUAGAAGGAAGAAAACCCCAGGGGAGGGAGACCUAUGAGUCAGAUUCAUGAGAUAAUAAGAGUAUUAAUGAUAUUUCUCUCUGUUCACGGAGUGCCACACACUGUUCUUUUUCAGUAUUUAUUUGAAAAGUGGAGUCAUAGAGAAAGGAAGAGAGACAGAUAGAGAGGGAUAUACAGAGAGCUGCAGAGAGAAAUUCUUCAUCCACUGGUUCAUUAACCAAAUAGCUUUAAUAGCCAGGGCUGGGCCACAUUGAAGCCAGGAGCUGGAAAUUCCAAGCAGAUCUUCCCCAUGGGUGGUGGGCCCGUGUACUUGGGCCUUCUGCUGCUGCUUUCCCAGGUAUCUUAGCAGGAAGCAGCACUGGAAGCAUGGAGUAGCCAGGUCUGAUGUGGGACGCCAGUGUCACAAGCAGCAGUUAUAUAACAAUGUCUGACUCCAAACACUGUUCUAAGUACUUCACAUGGAUGGAUACACUUGAGACAGGCUGUGUCCAUACUAGAAGAAAUUGUAGAAAUCUUCUGUAGGGCAGCAGCCUUUAGGUACAGUUGAUUUUAGCCCACUAUCAAGCCUUUGUCAUCCUUGCCACACUGUGGGUUUUUUGAGUUAGGAACUGUGUCUUAUUCAUGUUUGUUGCAAGUUUCUGAUGAAUUGCCUGCGAUUUACUAGUUAAACUCUUAAAAAAGUUUGCUAAAUGUAUUCCUUGAUGGGAUGGGGUAAGAUGAUUUAGUAUCUGUUAAUUCCUAAUCUUCUUUGUGCUGCAACCCCUGUCUUUGGGCUGCCCAAAGUACUUUAUAGAUCCUGUGGUUUAAGGAGUGUUGAUUGUGGGCUGGCAAUGUAGUGCAGCAGGUUAAGUCACCACUUGUGAUACCUGUAUCACCUAUCAGACUGCUGGUUUGAAGCUUGACUGCUCCAGUUCCAAUCCAGUUUUUGGUAAUAUGUCUGGAACAGCAGCAAAUGAUGGUUCAUGUACUUUGUUCUCUGCCAUCCAUGUGGGAGACCCAGAUGGAAUUUCUGGCUGGCUCCUGGCUUUAGCAUGUCAUAGAUCUGGCGGUUGCAGCCUUUUGAGAAGUGAACCGCUGGAUGGAUGAUUGAUCUCUUCCUUUCUCUCUCUCUCUCUUGCUCUGCAUUUUAAAUAAAUAAAUAUGUAAAUAAAUAAAUUUUUAAAAAAGAAGUGCUGAGUCUGUGAGACAGCAGACAUGCAUCUGUUCUUUGUGUGCCUCCUUUUCUCAAGGGUAAAGUGGGAUGAACAUUGAUAGAAUUUACACUGGACCACUUUUUCUUAGUAACUUUGGAGAGAAGAUGAAGAAGUAAUAGAAGGCCUAGAACUAUUUUUAAUUUUGAGCUAGGAGAGAACUGUAUCAUGCUGCUUUAUUUUUCUCAUUUUCUGUGUAUCGUAUUUAAAUAAAACGCAAGAAUUUGUUUUCCAAGGUGGGUGUUUAGUGCACUGGUUAACAUAGCACUUGAAACACCUGAUCCCAUUUUGGAGUGCCAAGUUCAAGUCCUAAAUCCUUCAUUUCUUAACCAGCUUUUUGCUAAUGUACACCCUGGCAGACAGCAGGUGAUAACUGAAGUACCACACAUUUGGAAGACAUGGAUAGAGUUCCAGGCUCCUGGCUUGAGUCUGACCCAGUACCCACUGUUGUGGGCAUUUAGGGGUAUACCAGUGUCUUUCCCUGCCUUUCAAGUGAAAGAUAAAUUGCUAAAAUCUUAAAAAAAAGAAUGUAUUUUCCCUUGUAUCCUACAAAAAACUUCUUUUGCUCUAUGUAGAUCUUAUUUGUAUAUUUUGCAAAUUUUCUUCUAAAUCUCAAUAUGAAACCUUGCUGAGCACUGCCAUCAGGCUGUCUACUUUGCUCCCAUUCCAUGAUAUAUCCCCUUACAUCAUCUUCAGUUCACUGUAACUGCUCAUAAACCCCCAGGCUGCCUCCCCAUUUUGCAUCCUUGUGUUCUUUCUAAGAAACUUGGUCAUGGCCAUAUGAACUUUCUUUAGCAGCAUCCUAAUCUUUUAAGAGACUUAAUAUGCAGAUUGUGGAGUAGUUGAUUUUUGUUCUGAGCCUUAGCCUUAAGUGGGUUAUUCUAUGAAGCUGAUUUUGGGUAGUGGGUAGAAUUUUGCUGGAUCAGAAGUUGGGGUGGGGGAGUUUGAUGUUAGGGAAAUAAGGCUGUCACUGCCCUUUAGUCUGUGCCCUACCUUGCAACCCAUGCCUGUCAUUGUAUUCAUUUUUAGAACUCUGGAGUGAAGACAGUAGUGAUGGAAUGAAGGAAAGAAUUUUUCUUAGAGAAUUUAAGAAGCUGACUUUUUUUCCUAACCUAAGCUUUGCCUUCUCACCUCCACUCUUCCUGCCCAUUUGUUCCUACUUUUCAAUCUGGUACUUUUAGGUUUUUCCUUUCUUUUCUUAUACUACUUUUGUCCUAUACCCAGCCUUGCUCCAAAAAGGAGUAGUGAAUACAAAUUAUGAACUAGUGAAUAUAAAUUAUGAGCUAAUGAUUCAGAGAAAAUUCAUAUCCAGUGUGGAACAUAGAAAAGAAAAAUCCAUUUAAAAAGAGACACCAUGCAGAAUUCCUCUAGAUGACUUUUCUUUCUUCAGAGCUGCAUCAACAGUAAUUUAUUCCUUCUGAUAAUGUGACACAAAAUAAAUACUUCUAGGUUUCCUGAUUUACAUUCUCUGUUGGUUCGAGAGGCUGGCAGGUUGUUAGAGCAGGGGAAGAGCAUCUGUCUUCUAUUCAUUUGUGCUGAGCUUCAGGUAAACUGGAAAGAGAGGAAAUUUUUGCACAGGAAAAAUGAAGUUGUUGGAGGAUUGAGGGAAGGGAAUCUAGAGUGUAGAGGGGAAUAAGUGCAAGGCAGUCUUCACAGGGAUGUUUAGAAAGAAAACCAAAUGAGAGCUAAAUCAGAGAGCCAAAAAAAGGAAGAACUUGAAGAUAUAGGUGGGAAGAUGGGAAAUUUGCAUCAUCUCAAGGAAUUAUGAGUAAUCUUAUAACAUCUUUUUGAUGAAGUUGUAGGGAAAAAGGAUUUUGUACUCAUAGUUGGUAGAAAUAUAAUACAGUAGAGUCUUUUUGGAGGGUAAUUUGGCAGUUCUACCUGCAAAAUUUUUAAAUGCAAAUGUUCUUUGGUGGGAUUCAACUAGAGAAAUUUUUCCUACAUAUAUUUGGUAAAGUACAUAAAGACUUUGUAAAGUUCUUUCUAAUACUGCUUGUAAUGGGAAUAAAAUAGAAACAACCUAAUUAUAUAUUAAUAAGGAACUGAUAUUGUGAUACAUGCAUAUAAUAGAAUAAUAAAUAUGGAAUGGUUUGAAAAAUGAUUUGGGUACAGAGUACUUAUGUAUAAAAUAAUGUACAGAAAAUAUACCUAUUUGGAAAAAUACAUAUAUACAUAUAUAUAUCUUUAUGAAGGUACUUCAAAGGUUCAUGAGAAAUGACGUUAAAAGAGAGGUUGUUUUGAUGCUCAAAAAUUGAAAUCCUUCGAUAGUUUUUUGUGAUAUACAUUUUAUACAAACUUUUUGGACAUGCCUUCUAUGUAUGGAUUUCAAAAUUUGUUGCACCAAAACAAGUAGUUUUUUUUUUUUUUAAAGAUUCAUUUAUUCUUUUUGAAAGUCAGAGUUACAGUGAGAGAGGGACAGAGGGAUCUCCAUCUGCUGGUUCAUUCCUCAGGUGGCUGCAAUGGCCAGCACUGAGCCAGGCUAAAACCAGGAUCCAGGAACUUCAUCUGGGUCUUUCACAUGGGUGGCAGUGGGUGGCAGUGUCCCAAACACCUGGGCCAUUCUCCACUGCUUUUCUCAGGCCAUUAGCAGGGAGCUGGGUCAGAUGUGGAGCAGCUAGGACAUGAACCACUGCAAAAAGGAUGCCACAACACCAGCCACUAUACAACAACACCCGCCCCAAACUUAUAUUUUAAUUCAUUUUUUCAUGAUGUUUAAAGCAGCCUUGUAUGCAUGCAUAUAAGACUUUCAGAAGUAUGUAAGAAACUGUUAAGAGCAGUUUCUUCUGGGAAAUUUGAGUAGGAUAGAAAGAAGGGAGUAACACUUUUAUUUUAUGUUCUGCUGCAAUAUUUGAAUAGCUUAUAUGUGAUAUAUUAUUUUUAAAGAUUUAUUGAUGUUAUUUGAGAGGUGGAGCCUCAGAGAGAAAGAGAGAGAGGGAGAGAGAGAGAGAGAGAAAGUGGUAGAAAGAGAGAGCGAGUGAGCGAGAGAUUUAUCUUCCAUCCACUGGUUCUCUCCCCAAAUUGCUGCAACAUCUAGGAUAGACCAGGCUGAAACCUUGAGUCAGGAAACUCAUCUGGGUCUCUCACGUGUGUGGUAGGGAUUCUAGCACUGGGGCCAUCUUACACGGCCUUCCCAGGUGUUAGCACAGGAAGCUGGAUCAGAAGAAUAGCCGGAACUGAAACACCACAAUUCUGGCUCCCCCAGAUAUUAUGUUUAUAAUGAAAAAUUCUGUCUGGUUUUAAAAUGAUAAUUUGUAUAUCCUGGAACAGAAAAAGGACAUUAGGUAAAAAGUACAGAAAUGCAAAUAAAUGAGAUUUAUUCAAUAAUGCUAUAUCAAUAUAGCUUCUUUAAUUUUAAUAUAAGAUGAUAAUAAAGGGGCCAGCACUGUGGCAUAGCAGAUAAAGCCACCACCUGUAGUGCCCGUAUCCCAUAUGAGUGCCAGUUUGAGUCCUGGCUUCUACACUUCUGAUUCUGCUCUAUGCUAUGGCCCGGGAAAGCAGUGGAAGAUGGCUCAAGUCCUUGGGCCCCUGCACCGGCAUGGGGGACCCGGAGGAAGCUCCUGGCUCCUGGCUUCAGAUCAGUGCUACAGAAGAGAAGAUGUUUAAAAGUGUUUAAACAAUUCUUUAAGUGAGUAAGAAGGAGUGCACAGAGAGUAGAUGUAAGUGGUCAGUGUAAUCCAUUUAACCAGCUCUGUGAGUGGUCAUUUCUGUAAGAUCUUUUUCCUUUAAGUUGGCACCACAGGAGGAAAACCAGGGCACUCCACUCCUAGACGUUUUCAAGUUGUAUUUCUUCCCUCCUUAUGCAUCAGGGCGGAUUGUAGCAGUUUGUUGAGUUCUUUGCAGGGUUGGGAUUAGGGAACAGAGACCUGCCAUCUCUUUGCCUUUGACAUUAAGACAUUGUUAAAUUAAUUUUUUGAAUUAAUUUAUAUCUUCAACAGAGGGAGGCAUUUUCAUUUCACCUUUCCAGGUAGUAGAGGGAGAUCUGUACACCCUCAUUCCAGUUGAUUCAGGCACCAAGUUUGAAGAAAGGGGUCCUCUGUAGUGUCGUUACAGCCAGCUCCUUCAUCCUUCUUUGAUUUCCUCUAACUUUGGCUUCUGGGCCAUUUUACUCCUAUUGUUUUACUUCUAUCCUGUUUCUGUUGCCAUCACAUACUAAUUCCCACAUCACAGCACUCACAAUUUUAUAUUGUGACAAAAGUGUGCACAUGGGAAGAGAGCAGAAUGUUGUUAGUCUGUAGAGGAAUUUUAAAACAGUGAUCAGUGGGGCAGGUGUUGUGGUGCAGCAGGUCAAACCACCACUUAAGUGCCCAAAUCCCAUUUUGGAAUGCAAGUUGAAAUCCUGUCCACUCUGUUACCAAACCAGCUUUCCUCUAAUGCAUCCUGGAAGGCAGUGGAUGGUAGCUCAAGUGCUUAUGUCUCUGUCACCCAUGUCAGAGAGCCAGAUGGUGUUCCUGGGUCAGUUAUGGCUAUUUUGACCAUUUGGAACAUGAGCCAUCUCUCUGUCUCUCUCUGUCUCUGUCUCUCUCUGUCAUUCUGCCUUUCAAAUAGAUAAAAAUGAGUAAACAUUUAAAAAAUAAAACAACUAGUUUUGUUAGAUAUUAGUCUACUAAUAUCUAGCCUGCUUCUUAAUCGCUUUCUGUACUGGGAAUUUUAAACAACAUUCAUUGUAAAUUAUUUCUCCAAAAAUCUAUUGAGUCAUCCACUCCAGAAACCUGAAAGUCAUCCUUAAUGGCUGCUUUUCUUAGCUCUCAUAUCCAACCCAUCACCCAGUGUAGCUUAUUUCUGAUUACUCUUUAUUUCCUGGUUCUGUAAGUUUCUCUUCCCUUUACUCUCAUUGCUGCUGCCUGUGUGCAGGCCUCACCAUUGCUCUCCAAGAUGAAACCAGUCUCCUGCCUUCUUUCUGUACCUGGAAAUCCACCGUAUAGGAAGUUACCAGGAAGCCCCUCUGUCCAUCAGGAUCUCUGUUCUCAUUGAAACCCUCUGAUGUCUCCCCAUCAUGUGCAAAUCAAAGACCAAGCCAUCUUGUAGAAUACCUGACUGUCUGUAUCCACCACUCUUAGACUUCAACUUUGUACUUGCCAAACACAAUUCCCCGUGCUUGCUAUGUUCUUCAGGCUGUUUUUGCUGUUGGUAGCCACACUGCUUGGAAUGGUCCCCUCCCUGCUUUUCCUUACUGACUUCCUCAUUCUGAAGGCUCAGCUCAGAUGUUACCUCCUCCAAGAAACCUUCAAUGACCAUCCCAGGACAGGGCAAGUAACCUUUCAAAGAGGAUUCUCUAGGCUAAUCAUGCAUGUAUCAUGUUGGGCCAUUAUCUAUGUAUGAUAUGGCUUUCUUCCCAGCAUAAGUGUCCUGGGGCAAAAAUUGUCAUCCAACUUCAUAUUAUUGUGCCAAGUUUGAUGCUCAACAUGACUUAUACUACCUAAAGUAAUGUAAAUGCUAUGUGAAUGGUUGUUAUAUUCUAUUGUGUGGGAAAUAAUGGCAAGAAAAUGUUUUUACAUGAUAAGUAUAGAUGCAUUUUUUUCCAGAUGUUUUCAAUCUGCACUUGGUGGUUGAAUCCACGGAUGCAGAACUCAUGGAUAUGGAUGGCCAGCUGUAGUUUCUGUGGAGAUGGAGGACAUGACAGUCCUGAGACAGGACUUUGGGGGGUUGUAAAGUACUGUCUACCUUGAGGGUCUACUUGAAUUCUAAUUUUCUCUUUUUAAAUCAUGAUAGCCAAACACUAAAAUGCAUGGGACCUUUCAGAAUUAUGUUACCCAACACAGUGGCCACAACCACUUAUGGUUUUUUAAAUUUGAAAGGAAUGAAAUAAAAGCUCAGUUCCUUAGACAAAUUUGCCAAACUUCAAGUUCUCAAUAGUCACACUUUACAUAUUGGACUUGUGACACACACAGAACAUUACCAUCUUUGCAGAGAGUAUGGUUGGACACCACUGUUUUAGAAUGAGAGAAUCUUGGGGGCUGGCACUGUGGUGCAUGCCGCGAGCGUCUCGGGGAGUGUGGCCGGCAGACUCAACCCAGGGCCCGCGACGACGGUUUCUCGGGCAAGAAAAGAACGAACGACGUUUAUCGCCCUUCAGUAGACUUUUUAUUAGAGAAAGUAGACGUGACAGAGGUAGAGAGGAAGGAGGAAAGGAGAGGAGAGAAAAAGAGCUUCCUCUUUACACCCGCGGCUUAUAUACAAAAUGCGACCAAUCAGGAGCAAGCUAGAGUCCAUGCAUCAAGCACACCAAUCCGGUCUCUGUUCACAUGAAGGGCACGCGUCCUUCGGCCAAUCGGGUGAGGUGUCACGCAGCAGGCAGGCAGGCAGACUGACUGCGGGGGUCCUGCUGCCAUCUUGUUGUUUACUGCGACCUCGAUCCCUCCUCCUCCGGAGAGCCCCGCCCAUAGGAAAGCCCCCCGGUCAAAACCGAAAGUAAAAACCUCCGCCUAGCGAUGCCGCGGACUAUUCCCUGACAGGUGCAGUGGGUUAAACUGGCAUAUGCUGCACCACCAUCCCAUAUGGGCGCAAGUUCAAGUCUCGGCUGCUCUGUUUCCGAUCCAGUUCCCUGCUAAUGUGCCUGGGAAAGCAAUGGAGGAUGUCCCAAGUGUUGUACCUGAAGGAGGCUCCUGGUUCCUGACUUCAGCCUAGUCCAGCCCCAGCUAUCGCAGCCAUUUGGGAAGUGAAUGAGCUGAUGGAAGAUCCCUCUCUGUCUCUCCCUCUUUCUCUGUAAUGCUGAAUUAUAAAUAAAUAAAUAAAUCUUAAAAAGAAACAGAAUGGGAGAGCCUUGAUGAGUAAUAUCAAAGUCACCUUACAUUAGCGGAAGCUUAAAUUAUGAAAUAAGAAUUAUUUUAAUUUUUAGGUUUUGUUUUUUAAAAUCAGAAUUAUAGAGAGAAGAGAUAGCGAGAGAGACACAGAGACAUCGUCCAUCCACUAGUUUACUCCCCCAGAUGGCUUCAAUGGCCAGUACUGUUCGAGGCAAACCCCAGGAUCCAGGAGCUUCGUCUGGGUCUCCAACAUGGGUAGCACGGACCCAAACACUUGGGCCAUCUUCUGCUGGUUUCCUAGGCCAUUAGCAGGGAGUUGAAUUGAAAAGUGGCAUAGUCAGGCCAGCACCAUGGCUCAUUUGGUUAAUCCUCCGCCUGUGGCGCCAGCAUCCCAUAUGGGCGCCGGGUUCUAGUCCCGGUUGCUCCUUUUCCAGUCCAGCUCUCUUCUGUGGCCCGGGAAGGCAGUGGAGGAUGGCCCAAGUGCUUGGGCUCUGCACCCGCAUGGGAGACCAGGAGGAAGCACCUGGCUCCUGGCUUCGGAUCAGAACAGUGUGCUGGCCAUAGCGGCCAUUUGGGUAGUGAACCAAUGGAAGGAAGACUUUACUCUCUCUCUCUCUCACUGUCUAACUCUAUCUGUCAAAUAAAUUUAGAAAAAAAAAAAAAAGAAAAGAAAAAGUGGCACAGCCGCAACAUAAAGCAUAUGUUAUGUCAGCAUUGCAGGUGGUGGUUUUACCCACUACACCAGCCCCAAUAAUUUUUUAAAAAUUUAUUUUUUAAAAUUAAUAUGAAGAAAACAGAUUUCCUGUUGUUCAUACAUACAGUUGUAAGAGUAUAAUGGUACUUACCCUCCCUCCCUCACCUCUCUUUCCUUUCUAUUUAAAUUUUUGUCAUAACAUUUUUAAUUUACUUUAUGGUCAUAGGCCUUAUGUUCCAUAAAUAAAGAAUUCGGUAAUUUAAAAAGUAGAGCAUUGUUGAAUAAAAAUAUAGAAGUGCUAUAAAUAAUAAUUAAAUGAGAAAAUGUUAGUUUCACUCAUAUACUUUGAUUAUUUUUUGGAUUCUGUAUUAGCUACCACAAAUCAGAGAAAAUGUGAUGUUUGUCUUUUUGUGUCUGGCUUAUUUCACUAAGCAUAUAAUGGUCUCCAGUUGCACCCAUUCUGCUACAAAUGAUGGAAUUUCAUUCUUUUUUAUAGCUAAGAAGUAUUUGUUGUAUAGAUAGACCACAUUUUCUUUAUCUGAUCAACAACUGGUGAAUUGAGCAGCUAUAAACAUGGAGAUAUAGAUAACUCUUUCAUAUGUUGAUUUCAUUUCUUUUGGGUAUAUUCUCAGGAGUGGGAUAGCGGGGUCAUAUUUUAGAUCUAUCUGAGGACUCUCCAUGUUGUCUUCCAUAGUGGUUGUUCCAGUCUACAUUCCAAUUAACAUUGUAUUAGGGUACUUUUAUCCAUAUCCUUUUCAAUAUUUUUUAUGUUGUGAUUUUUGGAUGAUAGCUGUCUAACUGGGUAGAGGUGAAACUUUAUUUACUUUUUAAAAAAGAUUUAUUUAUUUGAAAGGCAAAGUUGAAGACAGGUGUGGGACAGGAGGGUCUUCCAUCUGCUGGUUCACUCCCCAAAUGGCUGCAACUGCUAGAGCUGGGCCCAUCUGAAGCCAGGAGCCUGGAGCUUCUUCCAGGUCUCCCAUGUGGGUGCAGGGGCCCAAGGAUUUGGGCCAUAUUCUACUGCUUUCCCAAGCCAUAGCAGAGAGCUGGAUUGGAAGUGAAGCAGUCGGGACUGGAACUGGCCCCCACAUGGGAUGCACUGCAGUCAGCGGCUUUACCAACUGUGCCAAAGCACCAGCCCCUAUUGAUGUUCUUACUUAGAUUUUCUUGAUGGUAGUCAUCCUGAGAAUUUUUUCAUGUGUCUGUUGGCCAUUUCCUCCUUUGAAAAAUGCCUGAUCAUAUCUUUUAAUCAUUUCUUAAACUGUAUCAUUUGUUUUAUUAUUGUUGAGUUUCUUGAGCUCCUUAUAAAUUCUGGUUUAAUCCAUUAUCAGAUGCAUGGUUUGCAAAUAUUUAUCCCAUUCCGUAAGUUGCCUCUUCACUUUGUUGAGUGAUUAGUUUGCUGUGCAGAAUCUUCUUCGCUUGAUGUCAUCCCAUUUGUAUAUUUUGCUUUUAUUGUCUGUGCUCUGAGAUCUUAUCCCAGAAGUCUUUGCCUAAGCCAAUGUCAAGGUCUUACAGUGUUUUCUCUAGUUAUUUGAUGGUUUCAAGUCUUAAGUUUAGACCUUUGAUCCAUUGUGAGUUGAUUUUUAUAUAUGGUGUAAGGUAGGGAUCUUGUUUCAUAUAUAGAUUCUGUUUUGUCAAUACCAUUUGUUGAAAAAACUCCUUUCUCCAGAGAGUGAUGUUAGCUUGCUUGUUAAAAAUUAGUUGGUUUUAGAUAUGUGGAUUAAUUUCUGGAAUGUCCAUUCUGUUCCACUGGUCCACCUAUCUAUUUUUGUGCCAGUACGAGGUUGUUUUGAUUAUAACAUCUCUACAGAAUGUCUUGACGUCUAGUAUUUAGGUGCCUCCAGCUUUGUUUUAAUUUUUUAAGAUUGCUUUGGCUAUUUAGCAUCUCAUGUGUUUCCAUACGAACUUUAGAAUCGUUUUUUCUAGAUCUGAGAAGAAGGUUCUUGGUAUUUUGUUUGGAAUCACAUUGAAUCUGUAAAUGGCUUUAGGUAAUAUGAACAUUUUGAUGUGAUUACUUCUUCCAAGCCAUGAACAUGGAAGAUUUUUCCAUUGUUUGUAUCUUUUUUUUUUUAAAGAUUUAUUUAUUUAUUUGAAAGGCAGAGUUAGAGAGAGACAUAGGUAGAGACAGAGAGAGAGGUCUUCCAUCCACUGGUUCACUCCCCAGAUGGCCACAAUGGCCGGAGCUGCGCUAAUCCGAAGCCAGGAGCCAGAAGCUUCUUCCGGGUCUCCCACGUGGGUACAGGGGCCCAAGGACUUGGGCCAUCUUCCACUGCUUUCCCAGGCCAUAGCAGAGAGCCUGUUCGGAAGAGGAGCAACCGGGACUAGAACCAGCGCCCAUAUGGGAUGCCGGCACUUCAGGCCAGGGCGUUAGCCCGCUGCGCUAUAGCACCUGCCCCUGUUAGUGUCUUUUUCUAUUUCUUCCCUUAAUGCUUUGUAAUUUUCAUUGUAGAGGUCUUUCAUGUCUUUGGUUACAUGCUUGCCAAGUACUUACACUUUUCAUAGCUAUUGUGAAUGAGAGUGUUCUUGUAAGUGCUUUCUUAGCGAUAGGAUUAUUAGUGGCUUUCUGGGAACUAUAUAAGAAAUGGUGUACAUAACAGUAUGUCAUCUUAUUUGAGCAUAUCUGUAUUUUUAGGGAUAACAUUCAGACACUAAUAAUGUUCUAAUAUAUAUGAAAAUGUUUUCUUAUACAACUAAAAGGAGAAAGGGAAGAAUGUGACUUGAAUAAGUGGAAUUAUUUAUUUUUCUGCUUCACAUUAUUAUACAAAUUCAAAGCAGCUAAAAUGUGUCCUGGAAGUAAAUAUUUAUAUUUCUUAAGAAAAGCUAUACAUCCUUUCUUUGAAUGCAGAGGUGUAUUGUUGGGUAGUGUUAAAAAAAAAACUUUGAAAUUAAAAUAAAAAUGGAAGUCAAUACCUAUUUUCUUUUUUUAAAGAAUUUAUUUAUUUUAUUUGAAAUGUAGAGUUAUAUAUAGAGAGAGAUGGAGAGACAAAGAGAAAUCUUCUAUCUUCUGGUUUACUCCCCAAAUGAUCACAAUGGCUGGGAUUGGAUCAGGCUGAAGCCAGGAGCCCAGAGCUUCCUCUGAGUAUCCUUCUUGGGUGCAGGUGCCUAAGGACUUGGGCCAUCUCCUUCUGCUUUCCCAGGUGCAUUCUCAGGAAACUGGAUUGGAAAUGGAGCAGCCAGGACUCUAACUGGUGCCCAUAUGGAAUGCCACAACUGCAGGUGGCCCAAGUAUCUACUUUCCCCUUUUCCUUCCCAGUUGCCAUCUCUAUCGGACUUCCAGCAGUCAGAGUGGCCAAAGGUUGCUGCUCUAAGAAGUUCUUAGAAUGUCAUGGAACUCGCUAGAAUCUCUUAUUGUGGAGUAGCUACUUUGUAUAUGUUGGAUACCAAUACCUUAGAUGAAUGGGAUGUUUGGAAUGAUUGUUCUGAAAGAAAAUACAAGGAUUUACCUGUGAUUGCCAUCCAUAGAAAAUACGGUGUGAAAUCACCCCAAGAUUAAUGAUCCUGCCUGGUGUCUGAUACUCAGUUCAGAGGCUACAGGAGGUGGGACCUUAUCAUGAUUUGGGGCAGCUGUUUGAUUUUAUAUCAAUUGGUUCUUAUUGUAACCUGUUCACAACAGUGCCUGAGUAAGUUCUCAGGUUUUAAACAUAAUUGGGGGACAGAAUGUGAGAUUCAGUGGGAGAGGGUGUUGAAUUUCUGCUUUUCCCUUUCUGUCUGUCUUUCUGGAUCCAAAAGAGUACCUGAAAGUUGGACUGUAGUGUAAAACCAUUAAUGAAAGAAUGGAGAAUGAAGGAUGUUUAUUCCAGACAAUCUGCCCAAUGUUUUUGUAGUACUGGUUAACCUUUGUAUUUACAAGUGAGUCAUUAGAAUUUCAGCCACCAUUGUGGCUUAGCAGAUUAAGCUUUCGUCUGCAGUUCCAGCAUGCUAUAAAGGUGCUGGCAUCCUAUGUAGGCAUUGGCAUCCUAUACGGGUGCCACCAGUUGAAUCCUGGUUGAUUCACUUCCAAUCUAGCUCCCUGCUACUGUACCUAAGAAAGCAGCAGAGUUCUCUCACAUUGGCCCCUGCACCCAUGUGGGAGGCCCAGAAGAAGCUCCUGGCUUUGGCCUGGCCCAGCUCUGGCCAUUGUGGCUAUUUGGAGAAUGAAACAAAGGCUGGAAGACCUCUUUCUUUCUCUCUCUGUCCCUCUCUCUCUCUGUAACUCUGCCUUUCAAAUAAAUAAAACAAAUUUUAAAAAAAAGGAAUUUCAGGUAUCAUUUGAUUUUUUUUUUUUGAGAUUGUUUGAGAUGUUCAUGGUCUUUUAAAAAUUUUCAACUCUGUCUUAUUACAAAGAAAGGCUCAUUUUAAACACUUCAAGUUGUCCUUUGAGAAAGCCUAGUGGUAUGACCUUGGAAUUUGAAAGAAACUCUGCUCACCAUUUGGACAAGUUUAAGUGUUUGCACCUUAAUUUUAUAAUGUGUAAAAUGGAAAUAGUAAUGCUUACCUUAUAAGCUAGAGAAGUACAAAUUCUAGAGGUGCAAAAAAACCUUGCUAAUUUCAGAAAGACCUUUAGCUAAUUAACAUACCAUUCUCUCUGGUCAUGUUUAUAUUUGGCCAUAUGUAUAGCUAAUUCAAAAGGUUCAUGGAGGCCGGUGCCGCGGCUCACUAGGCUAAUCCUCCGCCUCGCGGCGCCGGCACACCAGGUUCUAGUCCCGGUCGGGGCGCCGGAUUCUGUCCCGGUUGCCCCUCUUCCAGGCCAGCUCUCUGCUGUGGCCAGGGAGUGCAGUGGAGGAUGGCCCAAGUGCUUGGGCCCUGCACCCCAUGGGGGACCAGGAUAAGUACCUGGCUCCUGCCAUUGGAUCAGUGCGGUGCACCGGCUGCAGCGCGCUAGCUGUGGUAGUCAUUGGAGGGUGAACCAACAGCAAAGGAAGACCUUUCUCUCUGUCUCUCUCUCACUGCCUGUCAAAAAAAAAAAAAAAAAGUUCAUGGAAAAUGAAAAAAAUAUGUCAUUUUGAUACAAAAAUUGUUUGAAAUCCAUGCAUAGUUUUUUAAUAAUAUGCAUUCCCAUGAAAUUUUUAAAAAUCUGUACUUAUUUAUGUAAUUGAAAGGCAUAGCAAGAGAGAGAGACAGGCAGAUAGUGAGGAGGAGAUUAUCUGUCUGAUGAUUUACUCCUCCAAUGGCUACAAGAACUAGGACUGGGUCAAGCCAGGAGCCAGGAACUCCAUCUGAAUCUCCCACCUGAAUGGCAGGGAUUCAGGUGUCUAAGUAAUUAUCUACUCCUUCUCAAGAGCGUCAGCGCGGAGUUGGAUCCGUAGUAGAGAAUUCAGACUAGAACUCCAGUUGAGAGUGAGGGCAGCCUAAACAGUGACUCAACAUGCAGUGUCAUAACACGUGUCCCUUCAUGAACUUUUUUUUAAAAGAUUCUAUUUAUUUAUUUGAGAAGUAGUGUUACAGAGAGAGCGACAGAGAGACAGAUAGAGGUCUUCCAUCUGCUGGAUCACUGACCUGAUGGCUGCAAAGGCCAGAGCUGGGCUGAUGUGAAGCCACGAGCUUCCUUUGGAUCUCUCCUGUGGGUGCAGGGGCCCACGCACUUGGACCAUCUACUACUGCUUUCCCAGGCCAUAGCAGAGAGCUGGGUCAGAAGAGGAGCAGCCAGGACAUUAGCCGGACCCAUAUGGGAUGCUGGCGCUGCAGGCGGAGGCUUAGCCCACUACACUGCAGCGUUGGCCCCAAACUUUGGUGGUCCUUUCCUGUUUGUUUUACUCUGUAUAUUUACAGAGUUAAAACUGUUCAGGAGGUCCGGCGCCGCGGCUCACUAGGCUAAUCCUCCGCCUUGUGGUGCCGGGACACUAGUCCUGGUUGGGGCACCAGAUUCUGUCCCGGUUGCCCCUCUUCCAGGCCAGCUCUCUGCUGUGGCCCGGGAGUGCAGUGGAAGAUGGCCCAAGUGCUUGGGCCCUGCACCCCAUGGGAGACCAGGAGAAGCACCUGGCUCCUGCCAUCAGAUCGGCGCGAUGCACCCGCCGCAGCGCGCCUGCCGUGGCGCCAUUGGAGGGUGAACCAACGGCAAAAGGAAGACCUUUCUCUCUGUCUCUCUCUCUCACUGUCCACUCUGCCUGUGGAAAAAAAAAAACAAAAAACAAAAAACAAAAAACAAAAAACAAAAAAAACUGUUCAGGAGAAAGGGCUCUACUGAAAUGUGAGAUAAUCUCAGAAUCUAUACUGCUAGAGAAUUAAUCAGAAAAUAAAAUGGGAUGUGAUCAAAAAGCUCUGUUUAAAUAGCAAAAGUCUUUUAAAGAUAAAUUGCUGUAUUAUCUAAAAGAAAAUGGAGUUGAAAAACUUGGAAACUUGAACACUGAAAGGAUUAUUCAUUAACAAAUAACAAAUCCCUUGGUUAUUUGUAAGUUUCACUAUUUUCAAUACUAUGAUUUACUAGUUUUAGUCUAACCCAAGAGAAACAACAAAUUGUUUCCAAAAGGUUUUUGGGGACAGACUGCUUAGUUUUGAUUGUCCACAUGCAUUGUUACAGACUGCUUAGUUUUGAUUGUCCACGUGCAUUGUUACAGAGUUGCAAAAGUCAGAUUUGAUGGAACUCUAAAACAUAGGUGCAAUAAUCAAGUAUUUCUGUUUAGAAUAUUACAGUGGUCAUAACAAAGGGAAAUGAAAUUCUUUUUUUAUUUUUGCAUUUUUCAAUGGCUUAAGUACUUUAUUUUUUUUCCCAAAGAAACCUUUUAUUUAAACUUCAUGCAUUUCAAAAGUACAGCUUUAGGAAUGUAGAAAUUCUUCCCACCAUACCUGCCCUCCUACCCAUUCUCUCACCCCUCCAUCUCCUCCUCUCCUAUUCCCAGUCCCAUUCUCCACUAAGAUCCAUUUUCAAUUAACUUUAUACACAGAAGAGCAGCUCUAUACUAAGUAAAGAGUUCAACAAUUUGAAUAGAAAAAAAAAAAACACCUAUUCCUCAACAGCCAAGAGAA